rnacentral:lncRNA from 1 species
UUUUCAGCGUGUAUUUUAGUGUUUUUUUUCAAAACGAUAACACCUAUACAUGAUAUUUGAUAUUCAUUGUGAAGCCCUACAUUCUCUUCUUCAGUUCAAAGAUGUAUUACUUAUGUACAGUUUAUCUUCUUGUCUUUACAAGCCUAUAACAUAGACCCAAUAUGAAAUGCACAUCUGAUCUUGGCUAGGCCGAUAACUUUA